rnacentral:lncRNA from 14 species
CUCUGCAGCAUUCAUCCCUGCAACAGAGAUGGAGAAAUAAGGAGUAUGGUUAUUUUUUUUCCAUGGGCAGGUGACUCCUAUUGGAUUUCUGUAACUUUCCCUUGAAGAUUCUGGUCCUGCUCCUAGACAGACAUCUAAAUUAAAAACAAACUACAGAUGGAAACUCCCUUUCUCCAUGGCGUCCUAGCUCAUAUUAAGGUUGCCAUUCCUGGGGAAGACCUUUCAGCUGCUCAAAGUAAGAGAUGACUAUUACAAAGUUUGAGAAAAAGAACUACAAGCCCAAAACCUGAAAUUCAUACACAGGAGGAUGUUUAAAUGUGAGUAUAAAUUUGUACUUGAAGCUAAGUAGUUGAACAUAAUAAACAGGCAUAUUAUAUUGCA